GGCGUGCUGGCGUAAUGGUAACGCGUUGGUUUUCGGUCUCACCUAGAGAUUCACCAAAGAUUGCAGGUUCGAGUCCUGCGUACGUCA
rnacentral:tRNA from 1 species